rnacentral:ncRNA from 1 species
CACUGCGCUGGUUGGACUUUGUUUAACUGCAGCGGCGCAGGGUGAGUCCCCUACUGUUGGAUCAGGUGCUGAAACAGGGAAAGGGUGGCGAAGUUAGCGCCCUUGCAUCGAACGGCUGACGGGU